UAGCGGCGAACGGGUGAGGAACACGAUGAGAAAUCUGCCUUCAACACUGGGAUAGCUCCGGGAAACCGGGGCUAAUACCGGAUAUGAAAUCUGCGGGCAUCCGCGGAUUUGGAAAGUUUUUCGGUUGAAGAUGAUCUCGCGGCCUAUCAGCUUGUUGGUGAGGUAAUGGCUCACCAAGGCGACGACGGGUAGCCGGCCUGAGAGGGCGACCGGCCACACUGGGACUGAGACACGGCCCAGACUCCUACGGGAGGCAGCAGUGGGGAAUAUUGGGCAAUGGAGGAAACUCUGACCCAGCGACGCCGCGUGCGGGAUGAAGGCCUUCGGGUUGUAAACCGCUUUCAGCAGGGAAGAAGCGAAAGUGACGGUACCUGCAGAAGAAGCACCGGCUAACUAUGUGCCAGCAGCCGCGGUAAUACAUAGGGUGCAAGCGUUGUCCGGAAUUAUUGGGCGUAAAGAGCUCGUAGGUGGUUCGUCACGUCGGAUGUGAAACUCUGGGGCUUAACCCCAGACCUGCAUUCGAUACGGGCGAGCUUGAGUAUGGUAGGGGAGUCUGGAAUUCCUGGUGUAGCGGUGGAAUGCGCAGAUAUCAGGAGGAAC
rnacentral:rRNA from 1 species